GAAACGAGAACGGAAUGUUUGCCA
rnacentral:piRNA from 1 species